AUAUUUUAGAUCUGCAGUUGAUUGACUCCACAAAUGUGAAACUGGUGGAAACAGGGCCAGCUGUUUUCGACAGAUAUCCUCUCUUUGAGGAAAAAUGGCUUGAUCUUUUGUCCAAGGAAGUUAGAAAACUGUAUCCACGCAAUUCAUCCAUUUAUUCCUCAAGCAUGUGUUAAGCGUUUGGCGAUGCUUCACGAUGUUGGACUCUGGACAUUCACAGAAGAUGAACACAUCUCACAAAAGAUCUGGAUUUUGUCUGGAAACUCAAGUAUAAGACCUAGCACCACUUGCCAAGGACCUCUGCUUUGCUUUGGUAGGCCAAGGGUCUGGCUCUGUUACCCAGGCUGGAUUGCAGUGGUGCAAUCUCGGCUCCUGUAACCUUCACCUCCUGUAACCUUCACCUCCUGGGCUCAACCCAUCCUCUGGCCUCAGCCUCCUGAGGAACUGGGACUUACAGGUGUGCCACCACACACAGCAAUUUUUUUUUUUUUUGUAUUUUUGGUAGAGAUGGGGUUUCAUCAUGUUGGUCAGGCUGGUCUCUAACUCCUGGGCUCAAGUGAUCUGCCCAUCUCAGCCUCCCAAAGUGCUGGGAUUAUAGGCGUGAGCCACCGCACCAAGCCCUACUUUGUAUUUUGAAUAGAAGCAACAGCAGUGAUGGGAUUCGUACUCCAAACCUCAGCGUCACACAACAUUCCCAUGCAGCAAAUCUGCACAUGUAUCCUCUGUAUCUAAAAUAAAAGUUGAAAUGUUUUUAAAAAGAAGCAAUGGUAGCACUCUGUUUUAAACUAAUGUUAAUGUUCUCAAAGCCACAGUGGAAGAAAUCCACUACAUAUCACCUAGAACUGGAGAUCUAAUCUGACAGGUGGGCCACAGUACUAAUAAUGUGAGCACAAUUCCUAUACAAAAUUUUAUUAAACUGUAUUAGUUGAGCAGACAAAACUACACAGACACUCUUCUCUCUGCCUUGUUCCUUCUUGUACUCUG
rnacentral:lncRNA from 10 species